GAUGAACGCUGGCGGCGUGCCUAACACAUGCAAGUCGAACGAAGCACUUACCCGGAUCCUUCGGGAGAAGGGUUUGUGACUGAGUGGCGGACGGGUGAGUAACGCGUGGGUAACCUGCCCUGUACAGGGGGAUAACAGUUAGAAAUGACUGCUAAUACCGCAUAAGCGCACGAAGCAGCAUUGUUUUGUGUGAAAAACUCCGGUGGUACAGGAUGGGCCCGCGUCUGAUUAGCUUGUUGGCGGGGUAAAGGCCCACCAAGGCGACGAUCAGUAGCCGGUCUGAGAGGAUGAACGGCCACAUUGGAACUGAGACACGGUCCAA
rnacentral:rRNA from 1 species